UUUGUCAAGAAAAAAAUAACAGCCCAUUAUAAGUCCAGUGUUAUGGAGUGUGUGUGUCAAAUGUCAGGUGGCACUUUUAGUAGUAUUGAUGUAAAUGACUACUAGAGAUUGAGUUGCACAAGGCUAAGUUGGACUAGCUGUUUAGAGCUACAAUCCAACUUGAAUUCAUAUUAAUACCAAGCCUUGUGUUGUUAAGAAAGAAAGAAAGACGGUCACUUACUAUAAUAAUGGCAGCGUAGAUAAUCCAUGUCAAAGACAGUCAACAGUGGCACUCACAGUAACACUAAAAAUAUUAUACAGUACACAAAAUAUAAAGGAAAUCAACUUAUUAAGGCAAGUUUGGGCUCAUCCUGAUGAUGUUAAAUGAAGUCACUCCAUGAUGAAGUGUCAUGUGGCGUCAGACAUUAGCAAUUCUUGUUGAUAAUAUGAAAUAUUUAAAAAUGAUUUAUGCAUUGUUUAAUGGCUUAUUUUUGAUCAACCUAGUGGAGAGAAUGCAAUCAAGAUGUUAUUUUACAUUAUAUUUAUAAAUAUUAUAAAGCUUCUAUCUAUU
rnacentral:sRNA from 1 species